rnacentral:rRNA from 1 species
CCUACGGGAGGCAGCAGUGGGGAAUAUUGGACAAUGGGGGCAACCCUGAUCCAGCCAUGCCGCGUGUGUGAAGAAGGCCCUCGGGUUGUAAAGCACUUUCAGUGAGGAAGAACGCCUGGUGGUUAAUACCCAUCAGGAAAGACAUCACUCACAGAAGAAGCACCGGCUAACUCCGUGCCAGCAGCCGCGGUAAUACGGAGGGUGCGAGCGUUAAUCGGAAUUACUGGGCGUAAAGCGCGCGUAGGUGGCUUGAUAAGCCGGUUGUGAAAGCCCCGGGCUCAACCUGGGAACGGCAUCCGGAACUGUCAAGCUAGAGUGCAGGAGAGGAAGGUAGAAUUCCCGGUGUAGCGGUGAAAUGCGUAGAGAUCGGGAGGAAUACCAGUGGCGAAGGCGGCCUUCUGGACAGACACUGACACUGAGGUGCGAAAGCGUGGGUAGCAAACAGGAUUAGAUACCCUAGUAGUC